rnacentral:rRNA from 1 species
AAGUUAGUACCGAAGUCCGGGAUGAAAGAUGGCGAGGAAAGCUGUGUGAAUUUCUGCGGUGCCCGUACCGCAAACCGACACAGGUAGGUAGGAAGAAGAUUCUAAGGCCAACGGGAGAAGGGUUGUUAAGGAACUCGGCAAAUUGACCCCGUAACUUCGGGAGAAGGGGUGCUCCAGCGAUGGAGCCGCAGAGAAUCGGCCCAAGCAACUGUUUACCAAAAACACAGGUUUGUGCUAAAUCGAAAGAUGACGUAUACGAGCUGACGCCUGCCCGGUGCUGGAAGGUUAAGAGGAGAUGUGCAAGCAUUGAAUCGAAGCCCCAGUGAACGGCGGCCGUAACAAUAACGGUCCUAAGGUAGCGAAAUUCCUUGUCAGGUAAGUUCUGACCCGCAUGAAAGGCGUAAUGAUUUGGGCACUGUCUCGACAGCCCGCCCGGCGAAAUUGUAGUACCGGUGAAGAUGCCGGUUACCCGCGACAAGACGGAAAGACCCCAUGGAGCUUUACUGUAGCCUAAUAUUGGGUUUCGAUGUUGCAUGCACAGGAUAGAUGGGACACUGGGAAGUGAUCGCUUUGGCGGUCAUGGAGUGGCCGUUGGGAUACCAUCCUUGCGAUAUUGGAAUUCUAACCUGCGCCUUUGAAUCAAGGCGGGGGACAUUGUUAGGUGGGCAGUUUGACUUGGGCGGUCGCCUCCUAAAGAGUAACGGAGGCGUUCAAAGGUUCGCUCAGCUUGAACGGAAAUCAAGCAAAAGAGUGCAAACGCAGAAGCGAGCCUAACUGCGAGACUGACGGGUCGAGCAGUAACGAAAGUUGGAGUUAGUGAUCCGGUGGUAUGUGAGUGGAAAUGCCAUCGCUCAACGGAUAAAAGUUACCCUGGGGAUAACAGGCUGAUCUCCCCCAAGAGUCCACAUCGACGGGGAGGUUUGGCACCUCGAUGUCGGCUCAUCGCAUCCUGGGGCUGUAUUCGGUCCCAAGGGUUUGGCUGUUCGCCAAUUAAAGCGGUACGCGAGCUGGGUUCAGAACGUCGUGAGACAGUUCGGUCCCUAUCUGUCGUGGGCGCAGGAUAUUUGAUGGGAGCUGUUCCUAGUACGAGAGGACCGGAGCGGACGUACCUCUGGCGCACCAGUUGUUCUGCCAAGAGCAUAGCUGGGCAACUAUGUACGGAUCGGAUAAACGCUGAAAGCAUCUAAGCGUGAAGCCGACCCAAAGAUAAGAUAUCCCACUGAUUCAAUCAGGUAAGAUCCCUUGAAGACUACAAGGUUGAUAGGCACAAUGUGUAAGUGGAGUGAUCCAUUCAGCAAGCGUGUACUAAUAGAUCGAGGGCUUGACCU